GAUGAACGCUGGCAGUAUGCUUAACACAUGCAAGUCGAACGGACUCUUCGGAGUUAGUGGCGGACGGGUGAGUAACGCGUGAGAAUCUGGCUUUGGGUUCGGGACAACCACUGGAAACGGUGGCUAAUACCGGAUGUGCCGAGAGGUAAAAGAGAAAUUGCCUGAAGAUGAGCUCGCGUCUGAUUAGCUAGUUGGUGAGGUAAAGGCUCACCAAGGCAGCGAUCAGUAGCUGGUCUGAGAGGAUGACCAGCCACACUGGGACUGAGACACGGCCCAGACUCCUACGGGAGGCAGCAGUGGGGAAUUUUCCGCAAUGGGCGAAAGCCUGACGGAGCAAUACCGCGUGAGGGAAGAAGGCUCUUGGGUUGUAAACCUCUUUUCUUAGGGAAGAACAAAAUGACGGUACCUAAGGAAUCAGCAUCGGCUAACUCCGUG
rnacentral:rRNA from 1 species